rnacentral:rRNA from 1 species
UACGGGGGGGGCAAGCGUUGUUCGGAAUUACUGGGCGUAAAGGGCUCGUAGGCGGCCAACUAAGUCAGACGUGAAAUCCCUCGGCUUAACCGGGGAACUGCGUCUGAUACUGGAUGGCUUGAGUUUGGGAGAGGGAUGCGGAAUUCCAGGUGUAGCGGUGAAAUGCGUAGAUAUCUGGAGGAACACCGGUGGCGAAGGCGGCAUCCUGGACCAAUACUGACGCUGAGGAGCGAAAGCUAGGGGAGCAAACGGG